UACGGAAGGGGGCUAGCGUUGUUCGGAUUUACUGGGCGUAAAGCGCACGUAGGCGGAUCGUUAAGUCAGGGGUGAAAUCCUGGGGCUCAACCCCAGAACUGCCUUUGAUACUGGCGAUCUCGAGUCCGGAAGAGGUGAGUGGAACUCCUAGUGUAGAGGUGGAAUUCGUAGAUAUUAGGAAGAACACCAAUGGCGAAGGCAGCUCUCUGGGACGGUACUGACGCUGAGACGCGAAAGCGUGGGGAGCGAACGAGG
rnacentral:rRNA from 1 species